UACGUAGGGAGCAAGCGUUGUCCGGAAUCAUUGGGCGUAAAGCGCGCGUAGGCGGCCCCGUAAGUCCGUUGUGAAAGUCAAAGGCUCAACCUUUGAAAGCCGAUGGAUACUGUUGUGCUAGAGUGCAGAAGGGGCAACUGGAAUUCUCGGUGUAGCGGUGAAAUGCGUAGAUAUCGAGAGGAACACCUGCGGCGAAGGCGGGUUGCUGGGCUGACACUGACGCUGAGGCGCGAAAGCCAGGGGAGCGAACGGG
rnacentral:rRNA from 1 species